rnacentral:rRNA from 1 species
GACGAACGCUGGCGGCGUGCUUAACACAUGCAAGUCGAGCGGUAAGGCCCUUUCGGGGGUACGACGAGCGGCGAACGGGUGAGUAACACGUGGGUGACCUGCCCUCAGCUCUGGGAUAAGCCUGGGAAACCGGGUCUAAUACCGGAUAUGACUCCAUGACGCAUGUUGUGGGGUGGAAAGCCUUGUGCGGCUGAGGAUGGGCCCGCGGCCUAUCAGCUUGUUGGUGGGGUGAUGGCCUACCAAGGCGACGACGGGUAGCCGGCCUGAGAGGGCGACCGGCCACACUGGGACUGAGACACGGCCCAGACUCCUACGGGAGGCAGCAGUGGGGAAUCUUGCGCAAUGGGCGAAAGCCUGACGCAGCGACGCCGCGUGAGGGAUGACGGCCUGGU